GUUUGUGGCUGUUAUUGCAAACUCAGAUCUUUUUUUUUCUUUAACAUUUCACAACUACUUUAACACAUAUAGUGUUGUCUCUUAACCUCCAGAUAUUUCCUGCUCUAAAGCCUGCGUGUUAUCUUCCCCCUUUUACUUCCUCCUUAUGCUGGCAGCUUAUUAGUGAUCACACACAUGCUGUCCGCUUCACACAAACACUCUUCAGUGCCUGAUCAUACAUGCCCCGAAGAGCACACGUCCCCGUGGACGGGCCACCCCGAGCAGCCCUGUGGAUCGCACCAAUUGUGUUGCAAGGAACGCAAAAGGUCUAUCCAUGCAUCUACUGGUCUCUCUCUGAUCUAGACUCUUCUCUUAGAGUAUUUGACAGACUGUGGUUGACACUCAAUUUAAGGGGGUGUCAGUUUGUCAAAUACCCCAAGAGAGGGGGCACGAGUCUCCAAAGUUCUCCAUCACCUGGUUUGAUACAAGCAAACCCCGUUAUACCUCAUGUUCAACCGCAUGCAGCAGCGCAUGUGUAAGUUUAGCUACUUUUGCUCAGUGCUGUGUAGAUUGCUUACAAAUUGUAGUCUUUUACAUGAUGAAAAUUGUAGUCAGAAAUGUAAUCCAUUUUAAGUAAUUCUUUCAGACUACUUUUUGGUUACUUUAAAAUUACUUUUGACCUAACUUUAUAGAUUUUUGUUUAUAGAUUUGAAUGGGAUUCUUGUUAGAAAAAGCAAAGAUAAAUAAAGUAUAUUCCAUUCUGUUAUCUACAUCAUGAAACACAUUAAAUGUUACAUUACUCCAGGGUUUCACAAACUAUAGGGUAAAUGAAAAAAGUGCAGAUGAUUUCUAAGUUUAUUUAAAAAAUAUUAAUUGAAUCAUAUUUUUUUAAAUAAAUCAUUUAAAUAAAAUGUUUAUGUUUACCUGCAUGUCAGUGUGACAUUAGAUAACUGUGAACAUGAGAAUGUGUUGUUAAAUUAUUAUAUAUAAAAGUUAACAUGGUAUAAUUGUCUGAGAGUUGCUUUCAUCAUCAGAAGCACGGAUUGCAUAUUAAUUUACAUUUAUGUGGCCAUUCUAUAUUGUGCAUUUUCAAAGAUAAAUGAUAUGUCACUAGAAUUUUUAGCAAAUAACUGUAAUAUGAUUAUGAGCAAUUUAAAAUGUAACAUACCAGUAACCUAUAUAAAAUAAGAAGAAGCAUAUGGUGUUUUCCAUGUAAUCUUUUCAUUUAUAGUGUGUGUGUGUUUGUAUUUAUUUGCUAUGUUGCUGCAAUCUUAUUGGAUGGAAAAACAGGUAGUUUGGAUAAAUAAAUAAAAAAAGAAAC